rnacentral:ncRNA from 2 species
AAAUUACUUCAGGGCGAGGUUGAUUUCCUCACCGGCGGUUACAGUCCGCGAGCGUUAUGCAUGAAUUGGUGUAAUUCCAAUACCGACAGUAAAGUCUGGACGAAAGAAGUAAGUG